rnacentral:rRNA from 1 species
CCUACGGGAGGCAGCAGUGAGGAAUAUUUGUCAAUGGGCGGGAGCCUGAACCAGCCAAGUCGCGUGAGGGACGACGGUCCUAUGGAUUGUAAACCUCUUUUGUCGGGGAACAAAGGCGCCCACGGGUGGGCGGAUGAGUGUACCCGACGAACAAGCAUCGGCUAACUCCGUGCCAGCAGCCGCGGUAAUACGGAGGAUGCGGGCGUUGUCGGGAUUUAUUGGGGUAAAAGGGUGCGUAGGCGGACCGUCAAGUCAGCGGUAAACAUGCGGUGCUCAACGCCGUACAGCCGUUGAAACUGGCAGUCUUGAGUGGGCGAGAAGUAUGCGGAAUGCGUGGUGUAGCAGUGAAAUGCAUAGAUAUCACGCAGAACUCCGAUUGCGAAGGCAGCAUACCGGCGCCCUACUGACGCUGAGGCACGAAAGCGUGGGUAUCGAACAGGAGUAGAUACCCGAGUAGUC